GACUCGAUACUUUAAAAUAAAAGACCUGAUUUGCAUUUAGACAAUAAGUUUAUAAACUUUCGGGUC
rnacentral:tRNA from 1 species